rnacentral:rRNA from 1 species
UACGGAGGGUGCAAGCGUUAAUCGGAAUUACUGGGCGUAAAGCGCACGCAGGCGGUUUUUUAAGUCUGUGGUUAAAUCCCGGGGCUCAACUCCGGAAUCGUCACGGAAACUAGAAGACUUGAGAUGUGCAGAGGCAGUUGGAAUUUCGGAAGUAGGGGUAAAAUCCGUAGAUCUCCGAAGGAACACCAAACGCGAAGGCAUUCUGCUGGGCACAUUCUGACGCUGAGGGACGAAAGCGUGGGGAGCAAACAGG